rnacentral:tRNA from 1 species
ACAAAAUGGACCUUCCCCCUGGUAAUCCAGGCCAUUUUG